rnacentral:lncRNA from 1 species
CGCACUAUUCACUUUACAAGGGGCCAGAGAAUUCAGCAGACGAACCGGUACCGAAACCAGACUCUGCGCAGGAGACAAUACGACCGACACCGAGGGAGUCAACCGGGAUCGGGAACACACGUCCAUCGUGUCUGCCGAUACCAACAUGUCCGUGACUCAAGCUCAGGUGGACGAGAUACUCAAGCUCCUGCAAAAACAGCAGCCCCAGCAGCAAGAUAUUCAACAGACCCCGCUGUGCACGUUGAAUCACUUGCAACCCAGCCCGAUGAUGUAUCAGUGGCAGACGCAACGCCAACCAAAUGACCCAUCUCAUCACCAAAGAUACGGACACACAGGGUUUAAUGGCGUACACCCUACGUCUUCCUACAGCGGUUACGGUGACAGCCAGUUGGAUUAUGAUAAUUUGACUCAGGAACAGAGAAGGAAGAUCGCCCUGGCGUACAACAAAAAACAAGACGAAAAGCAGGCUGCACUGCAAAAAGAGCACAAUAGGAUGUUAGAGUCCAUCAAAGCAAGCAUAAGGGACGCCAUCAAGGAACAACAACAACAACAACAACCACCUCAACCAGUGACUCUCGAGCCGCAGGGUGACCGAUGUGAGACGCUACACACUCUGGCAAUGGGUACACCCUACAAACGAGUCACUCGGGAUCGAGGCUCUGUUUCAAACGAGAACAACAUAGCGACCCUGACGCGUGAGCUUUGUGAACUCAGGGAACUGACUGAGGAACUCUCCAGACGAGACGAAAAGCCAAAGCAGGUUCUCAACACUGAGAAUCAGACCUCUGACAUGGAAGCUGAAAACAGCGAGGCGACAACCUCGAUCCCCGAGCCGUCUCUUGUCAGUAACAUGAAGCAACAGGCCGGUUACGGUAGUGCUAAACAAGCUGAGACCAAAAGGCCUGUUAGAGACUCGGUGUCGGAUUUCAUAGCAGCCGUUGUCACAAAAGACUGAAUGUGUGUUGAUUCAUAUGUUGCAUUAAAAAGAAAUAAAAAUAAAU